CUGGGGUAGGCUGUGCUCAGGAGAGAUUCAGGGCUCAGGCAGGCUUCAUUUCCCUCAGAGCUACCUGCCUCGCCACAGGAGAGGCUCCUGAUGACUCUCCUGGGAGCCCAGACAUUCAGCACUGACCAGCCCUGGGGCCAGUAGGCUGAUUUAAGGAUGGAAGGUGAGGGAGUUUACAGAGUUUCCACGUCCAGGAGCUCAGCAACCAAGCUGCAAUUUUGGAGGAGCCAUCAGAGCACCCAAAAGAUGCUGUGUCUCUAUUCUGACUCUCCUGCAGAAUCUGGGUUACACCUUGAGCAUGUCUCCUGCCUUCCCCAGCUCUCAGUUUGCUUCAGAGGGGUAAGAAGGCAGCAGUGAGCAUAACAGCAGCCUUGUCUGGACUCUGACAUGAGCACCAGCACUAGGGCAGUGGCAGGGAUUUCCACACAAAGGUAUACUGCAAAUUUGCUAGAAAACUUAAUUUUCGACUUCCACUUUAAAAAAAAAAAAAUCUGUGAAAAUUUUGGGGUGGUGAUUAAUACUAGCUCCAGACUGGUGCAGGUUGAUUGUUUGUGGGUUUUUUCCUAUUUGUUUUAGGUUGUUUACUCAAAGCAAUCAUUUGUGUACCUUGUUGUUUUCCACUCCUUGCAUCUGUUCAUUUGUUUAAGUAUGAGCCUCUGUGUUUUCCACUUCUGUUUCCUCUCAUUACAGUGGAGCAUCUGCUUAGCACUUAAAAAA